rnacentral:rRNA from 1 species
AUUGAACGCUGGCGGCAGGCUUAACACAUGCAAGUCGAGCGGAGCGAGGGUGCUUGCACCUUAGCUUAGCGGCGGACGGGUGAGUAAUGCUUAGGAAUCUGCCUAUUAGUGGGGGACAACAUUCCGAAAGGGAUGCUAAUACCGCAUACGCCCUACGGGGGAAAGCAGGGGAUCACUUGUGACCUUGCGCUAAUAGAUGAGCCUAAGUCGGAUUAGCUAGUUGGUGGGGUAAAGGCCUACCAAGGCGACGAUCUGUAGCGGGUCUGAGAGGAUGAUCCGCCACACUGGGACUGAGACACGGCCCAGACUCCUACGGGAGGCAGCAGUGGGGAAUAUUGGACAAUGGGGGGAACCCUGAUCCAGCCAUGCCGCGUGUGUGAAGAAGGCCUUUUGGUUGUAAAGCACUUUAAGCGAGGAGGAGGCGCUCUAGGAUA